rnacentral:rRNA from 1 species
GUCCACGCUGUAAACGAUGGGUGCUAGGCGUCGGGGGGAGCGACCCUCCCGGUGCCGUCGCUAACGCAAUAAGCACCCCGCCUGGGGAGUACGGCCGCAAGGUUGAAACUCAAAGGAAUUGACGGGGGCCCGCACAAGCGGUGGAGCAUGUGGUUUAAUUCGAUGCAACGCGAAGAACCUUACCUGGGCUUGACAUGCACGUGAAAGCCGGUGGAAACACUGGUCCUCCUUCGGGACGCGUGCACAGGUGCUGCAUGGCUGUCGU